rnacentral:lncRNA from 1 species
UUGAAUUUUCAGUUAUCUAAAAUCUUUACAAAAGACAUAUUUUUAAAUAAUUUCUCAUAAAAGCUUUAUAGAAUAUUUUAGGAGUUGUACAAAUUGAAUUCAGAGAGUAUACAGAUGACUUGUAAGAAACGUAUAGUCAGUAUUAUUUAUAACUAACUGAUAAACUUGAUAUUAGAUGUGAUCUCAAAUAGUUUUUUUAUUAUUUUUAUUAAACAGACUGUAAAAUGGGCAACGAAACCUCUGUAAUAACAAGACUUGAGCUGCAAGGUACGAGCAAUAGCCUUGUGUUUAGAGACCUACGAUACUUGAACAGAUAACUUGUUAGCAAGGCACGAUGUUGAUAAUUUUCACCACCAACUUGAAGAUAUCCUUCCCAAAUACCAAUGGAGAAAAUUGGAAGAUGAAUGGGAAGAUGAUAAGCUUUACUUGACCAGCUCUGUUUAAAGAUAUACCUAUGGUUCGAGAAAGAAAAUAACAGAAAUAGUUAUAAAGAACUACACUAAAUAGGAACUAAAUAAUAAAAUUAAUUACAAUAAAACAGAGUAUAUUGUGGAAAGAAACUGAUCUAAAAACAGCUUGCAAUAUCCUUUAUUUUAUAUGAAAAGUCAGGGUAAUGUGAAAAAUGUAUACAGAGUGAUCCACUGUUUAGAAAAACAUAUUUUAAGUUUAUUUGUAUGGUUGUUGUGGAUUUCUUUUGAUCAUUAGAUGUGUCAUAAAAUUGCCAUUCCAAGAGAAAUACUAAAUUAUUGAAGCUUUCCACCAGGAAUGGGGCCUCCUUCAAGACUACGUACUAAUAUAGGCCAUAUUAUACUUGAAUUAUACAGGGCGAGUCAGUUUUGGACUUAAAAUCUGUUUAAAGUGUACAGUGAUAUAAUUAAUGAUAAAAAAUCAUGUGAGA